GACGAACGCUGGCGGCGUGCUUAACACAUGCAAGUCGAGCGGUAAGGCCCUUUCGGGGUACGACGAGCGGCGAACGGGUGAGUAACACGUGGGUGACCUGCCCUCAGCUCUGGGAGUAAGCCCGGGAAACUGGGUCUAAUACCGGAUAUGACUUCAUGACGCAUGUUGUGGAGUGGAAAGCCUUGUGCGGCUGAGGAUGGGCCCGCGGCCUAUCAGCUUGUUGGUGGGGGAUGGCCUACCAAGGCGACGACGGGUAGCCGGCCUGAGAGGGCGACCGGCCACACUGGGACUGAGACACGGCCCAGACUCCUACGGGAGGCAGCAGUGGGGAAUCUUGCGCAAUGGGCGAAAGCCUGACGCAGCGACGCCGCGUGAGGGAUGACGGCC
rnacentral:rRNA from 1 species